AGAGAAGUUGGGCAGCCUAAAUUUUGAUGGCCUAAAAUGGGUUUUGGUUCAGGUCUACCGGCUCCUCUUACAGUCCUUGCUUUUUUCUCCUGUACCACCCUUGUCAGAUCCCAGGUACAAUAUAGUUUGCACCCAGUUUUUAUCUGGCGAUCUUGGAGAUUUCCGUCCCGUGUACACUCUUGCCAGCUUUCCAGACGUAGUUCCCAUUCUCAUUUCAUAUUAGCCUUGUGUUGACUCAGGUGCUCGAACAUCUACGUUGAUAAAGUUGUGGUCCCUUCAGUGAUGGCGGACUGUAUUUACACGGGGUGGGGGGGGUGGGUGGUGGUGCAGCAGAAUAGGGCCCAAGGCUUAGGUCUCUGGUGAGUGUUUCAUGAUGAGUUUCAAUACCUGUUCUUUCCAUGUGCCCCCAGCAGAGCAAAAUGGUGCCUCUGCAUGAGAUGGAGGGUGUAAGACGAGGAGGGAGGGACGAGGGGAGGAAGAAACGGAGCAAGUGCACAGGAAAGAGAAAACGACAGAGAGGAGGACAAGGAAAAGGGAAAUAAUAGGAACUAGAAGUAGGAAUUAGAUGCUGCCUCUCUGACCGACUGAGUGGAUGAACGGAUGAAAGGACAAGAUUUUAAGUGCCUGCUAUGAACCAGGCCUGCUCAGGCCUUUUCCUAUCAAUUAUCUCAGUUCAUCAACGACUCCACCCUUUGUGGAAGAAAAUGCAGUACGACCGUUUUAUUUCUAACAGCCCGUGGCCACACACUGCAAUGUCAAAGUUUUUUCUGGCUGGGCCCAAGGGUUCUCGAGUAGACAACUUGGCUGGGAAUUUUCAAGCUGUUCAGCCUUCCACAGCUUUGUGCUUGACCGUUUCCCCCUCAUUUGUAAAAAUAUCCUGGGGUUUCAUGCCUGCAAUCCUUAGAUCCUUUCAACAAGAGCUUCCAAAGCUGUAAAGCUCAAUAGUGCUGUGAUGCACCGUGCAGGGAAGGGAGUAAAACGAAAGUUCUCCAUCCCUACCGGGUCCCACGAAGGAAAGAGUGUGAAUAACGGGUUAAAUAGAGCUCUUAAGUUAUUAAAGUCACAGUUAUAGAUGCGUGUAAUUUUUAGCACAGAGAUUUAUUAAUUUGCAUUCAGAUCAUUAGAGCCAAUUAGCAGCUUCAGCUUCUGCAGCCACGCUUUAAGUCUUUUACCCUUUACUUCCCUGGUGAACCCCAGAUCACAUCUUCACAGACUAAGGCUUAAAACUCACCUCUGGUGUUAGUGUCCAAAAAAAAGGAAGUUCUACACUGUCGCCCCCUGCCCGCCAUACCCAGAAGCUUCUUCUCCUCUUUCUCUCUUUUUUUCUGUCCAUCGGGGCCUUUUUCUUUAACUCUAUGUACUAUUCAUUAGAGAGCCCAUUUGUAACAAUAUCUGAGGAGUUAAUAAGGGAAGGGAAAAGAAGUGAAAACUCCCUUUAGUCCUCCUUUUCCUACUCAAUUGAGACCCCUGUAAUUUUCAGGAAAGGAAAAGCACAGAAGAGUAACAAAUUCUGCUUGAAAACCUGACUUUUACUAAUGUUGGGCCACAGGCAAGAUCUAGAGAUUUCCCCAUUCAUCUCACCACUUACUUGGAUAUGCUGUCUGUAGGGAACACAUAUGAAAUGAACCUUGAGAAACAUUAACAAAAGUCUACUUAAUUUUUAAGAGUCUGCCUAUGGGGUGGUACAGGUCAGUUAAUCAGUUCAGCAUUCUUUUGGGAUUCAUUUGGCCAAUCCUUGGCUACUAUCAACUGGUUGCUUUUGCUCUAUUCCAAUUACAUUAUAAACUGGGAUUUGGAAGCGAUUGAGUCUACGUUCCUUAUUGCUGCUAACCAUUGCACCCUUAUAAAUAAUUUAAAAAUUAGCUCAGGAAUCCAUCAUGCCCACGCUGAGUGUCUUUCUUUAUCCCGGGUUAUCGCUGCAGGCUCUCUGGUUUCCAUUCCCAAGUGGUUGAGAAUAGAUCAGGAUCUCCCGACGGUGGUGAUGAUCGAUGUGUGUGCUGACCGAUGAACUCAGCGUCAAGGCACUUUACCUUCACUGCGUCCUCAGUUUUGUCAUGACGCAUUUAUUUUGGAUCCCCUGUUUAAUUUCCCGUCGGUGUAAUUAACAUGGCUAUUUCUGACCUUCUGUAAGACAAAGCUUUUACCCACCCCCACCUCCCUUCCUCUUAGCGGAUGAUCUUACCGGUCACAGCUCUAGAAAGUGUGAGGUUCUCAGGCUUCAUCUGCUGCCUCCCUUGCACCCUCAUUUGCUCUUAAUUACAUCCAUCCUUCACUCCUUCCUAACUUUGCAUGGCUAACCACCUCCUCUUUGCUCUUCACGAGCUGGCUUCUGCUUACUGCUCCAGCUGCAUCUUUUCCAAAUACUCACACUCCCUUUUGUCUCCACUACAGUAUUUACCAUCUGCAUUUCUUCAAGUAAACCUUGCUGUAAACACCUCCACCUACUGUGAACAGACACCUCAACCUUUGCUGAAUUGGUUUCACUCUUGCUCAUCUGAAUGCAGCUCUGAGGUCUGGGUUUUAGAUACGCCUCCCACAGGUUCCCAGAACCUCUGCGCAUAUCUUUAUCAUAGCACUAAUCACACCAUAUUCCAACUGCCUGUAAACUGUGUUAUCUAGUCUUAUAUUGCUGCAUCUAGAGUAGUGCCUGGUACAUAAGCGUCAACAAAUGGGCAUUGAAAAUUGAGCAAUGAAAAAAAGGAAUGAAUGAGUGAAUGUUGUAACCAGUUGCCAAUCAGUCCAUUCUGCUUUGAGAGGGACUCUUAACUCUAUUGCUAUCUUUGUCAACCCUCCUUCACUGACAAGUUUUCUUCAGCUCAAGCUUUUAUUUAUUUUGGGGGAGGCAGUUUGGUUCAGUGGUUUCAUGUAUUGUCUUUUUGCUACCCCGCUUUAGAGCCCUGUGUCUUAGUUUGCUAGCUGUGUCCAAAUUUCCUAGUCUCUGUGUCUCAUUUAUGUCUUGUUCCCUUUAAAUGAAAGAUAAUAAUCACAGCCCUUCCAUAAGACUGUUCUGUGAAUCAAUUGAGGUCGUUCCUGUGUAGCCCUUACUGCCUAGUACAUAGUAAAUGGUAAUUAUAUAUGAGUUAUUUUAAUGACUUCUAGCUUCUACUUUUACAAUUUUCUUUUCAAUUUUUGUGAACUAUUUCAAACAUGCAAGUAGGAAUAGAGGCUGAUAUAACACACACCCAUGCAGCCACUACCAGCUUAAGAAAGAAAUCAACAAAGACAAUAAAAGCUACCUCAGAACCCUUUCCUAUAUCAACUUUUCCCUCCUUUUGUUUUCCUCUCCCUUCCUCCAUCCCAGAGAUAACUACUGACCCAAAUUUGGUGUUUAUCAUUUGUAUGUAUAUUUUUACACAUUGACUGUGUAGCUAAGAAUUAUGAAUGCAGUAUGGUGUGCAAUGCAUUGUCCUCUAGUUACCUGCCCCCCCAAUGCAUCCCUCAAAUCAGUAAUUCAUAUUAUUUCUAGAGUUAUCAUCCCAAAACACAAAUCCGUUUCUGUAAAUCAUUCAGCUUUCUUCCUUCCUUCCCUCCUUCCUCUCUCUCUCUCUUUCUAGACUUGGUGUUUUCAGGGCAGUUUUAAUUUACAACAGAAUUGAGAGGGAAGUAGAAAGAGUUCCCAUAUACCCCCUGUUCCCAAGUAUAGCUUCUCCCAUUAUUAACAUUACUCACCAAAAUGAUCCUUUUUUUUUUUUUAACCAAGGAUGAACCUCCAUUGAACAUCACAAUCUCUCAAAGUCCAUAGAUAGUUUACCUUAGAGUUCACUCUUGCUGUUUUACAUUCUGUAGGUUUAGACAAAUGUAUAAUGGCAUAUGUUCAUCAUUAUAAUAUCAUAUAGAGUAUUUUCACUGCCCUGGAAAUCCUUUGUACUCUUGCUAUUCACCUCUCUUCCCCUGUGCCCAUCAGAAACCACUGAUCUUUUUAUUGUCUCCAUUGUUUUGCCUUUUCCAAAAUGUCAUAUGGUUGGAAUCAAAGGCUACAAUAUGUAGCAUUUCCCAAUUGACUUCUUUCACUUAGUAAUAUGCAUUUGAGGUCUCUCCAUGCCUUUUUAUAGAUUAAUAGCUCAUUUUCUUUUAGCGCUGAGUAAUAUGCCCUUAUCUAAUGUAUCAGUUUAUUCACUCACUUACUAAAGGACAUCUUGGUCACUUCCAAGUUUGGGCAAUUAUGAGUAAUGCUGCUCUGUAAACAUCCAUGUGCAGGUGUUUGUGUGGACACAGAUAAGUUUUCCUUUGGGUAAAUACCAAGGAAUGCAAUUGCUGGAUUGGAUGGUUAAGAAUAUGUUUAGUUUUGUAAGAAACUAUCAAACUGUCUUCCAAAGUGACUGUAUUAUUUUCCAUUCCCUCCAGUAAUGAGAGUUCCUGUUGCUCCACAGCCUCAUCAGCAUUUGGUGUUGUCAGUGUUCUGGAUUUUGGCCAUUCCCAUAGGUGUGUAGUGGUGUGUUUUUAUUUUUGUUGCAUUUCC